GCCGUCUUAGCUCAGUGGUAGAGCGCGUGGCAUUUAACCACGUGGCCGUGGGUUCGAUCCCCACAGACGGCG
rnacentral:tRNA from 1 species